rnacentral:rRNA from 1 species
AGAGUUUGAUCAUGGCUCAGAAUGAACGCUGGCGGCGUGCUUAACACAUGCAAGUCGAACGAGGCUGAGGGGGCAACUCCUCAGUUUAGUGGCGGACGGGUGAGUAACACGUGGGUAACCUGCCCGGAAGUGGGGAAUACCUCGGGGAAACUCGAGCUAAUACCGCAUGACAUCUUCGGGACGAAAGUCCUGACGAUCAAAGCGGGGUCGCAAGAUCUCGCGCUACCGGAUGGGCCCGCGCCCGAUUAGCUAGUUGGUGAGGUAACGGCUCACCAAGGCUUCGAUCGGUAACCGGCCUGAGAGGGCGAUCGGUCACACCGGAACUGAGACACGGUCCGGACUCCUACGGGAGGCAGCAGUGGGGAAUCUUGCGCAAUGGGCGAAAGCCUGACGCAGCAACGCCGCGUGGAGGAUGAAGGCCCUUGGGUUGUAAACUCCUGUCGGCUGGGAAGAAAUCUUCCGGGGCUAAUACCUCCGGGAGUUGACUGUACCAGCAAAGGAAGCCCCGGCUAACUCUGUGCCAGCAGCCGCGGUAAUACAGAGGGGGCUAGCGUUAUUCGGAAUUAUUGGGCGUAAAGGGCGCGUAGGCGGCCAUGCGUGUCUUCCGUGAAAUCCCUCGGCUUAACUGAGGACGUGCGAAAGAAACUGCAAGGCUCGAGUCCGGGAGAGGGGGGUGGAAUUCCCAGUGUAGCGGUGAAAUGCGUAGAUAUUGGGAGGAACACCGGUGGCGAAGGCGGCCCCCUGGACCGGAACUGACGCUGAGGCGCGAAAGCGUGGGUAGCAAACGGGAUUAGAUACCCCAGUAGUCC